AUUUAUAAAAACUUAAUUUUAAUUUUAAAAAUAAAUAUUUUUAUUACUUAUAUAUAAAAUUCUAAAUUUAAAUAAAAUAACAUUUAAUAUAUAAAAUUAAUAAAAUAAGUAAAAUUAGAUUUAAAAAUAUUUUUUAUUAUUAAUAAAAUUUGUGCCAGCAAUUGCGGUUAUACAAAUAAUAAAAUUUAUUCCUAUCAAUUUAAUUAAAUUAAAUUAAUAUUAAUUAAAAAAUAUAUUAUUAGAUAAUAUACAAAUAUAUCAAUUAAUUAAAAUUUAACUUAAAUUAAAUUUUAAAUUUUAAAAUAAACUAGGAUUAGAUACCCUAUUAUUUAACCUUCAAUAAAAAUAUUAAAGUAUUAAAUGUAUAUAAAUCAUUAAAUUUAAAAAAUUUGGCGGUAUUUAUUAUAUAGAGAAAUUUAUUUAUUAACUAGAUAAUCCACUCUUUUACUAACUUAAUUUUCACUUAUAUACUUCUGUACAGAUAAAAAUUUAAAUUUUUAUUCAAAAUAUUUUAUUUAAUUAAACUUCAAGUCUAAGUAUAGUUUAUAAUUAAGACUAAAUGAAUUGCAUUAACAUAAUUAAAUUAUUUAUAAAUUAAUUAUUUAGAAUUUAUUAAUAAAAUUUUUUUAAUUAUUAAUUUGAAAUUUACAAAUAAAUAUGCACAAAUCGCCCGUCAUUCUUAAUAAUAAGACAAGUCGUAACAAAGUAAUAGUACUGGAAAGUACUGUUAGAACU
rnacentral:ncRNA from 1 species